rnacentral:lncRNA from 1 species
AUGAAGUUGAGAACCUUUUCACUGUCUCCCCAUUCUCCAGCCUCAGGAAACAUCUCAAGGCCUGCAUCAUCUGGAGAGGGCCCCACAUGCUAUUCAAGAUACAAAAAACACAGGAUGGCCUCUGGAGCUGGAGAUCACCUAGGAGCCCAAACCCUGCAGGGAGCACAGCCAAGCUCCACUCUCCCUCAUGACUGUCUGCCCAGCUCAGAUCCCAUAGAAACCUUCAAGAUGGAGGCAACUCUCCAGAGGGCUGUCAUGUUCCCCUCAGCCCCACAGGAGACAUUCUUCCCCUCAAGCAAGAGAAACAAUUUAAGUGAAGUGGGCUUUAAGCCUCAAACCUCCCACUGCCGCCAUCUUGGACCCCCUCCUCCUCAGCAAGCUGAUGAGUGCCUAUGGAAGAGAGCAAGCAAGCAAGAGAGAGACAAUGGAGCAAUUCUGAUGCUUCUGUAA